CAGCCAGACGCCUAAGGGAAGCCUUGAAGCAUCAAGAUAAUCAUGGUCUCCUGCUGUUGCUGUCUAGCGUGGACAUUCUGCCAUUAUGAUCUGUCUUCCCUUUGAUACCGGAGAAACAUGGAUCAGGUAUCACUGAUUGAAAAUCAUUUCGUGAAAGCUACAAUUUUGUCCAAAUGUAGAGGAAUGAUGAAAGCAAAACAUUCCAUGGGAUAAAAUGAUAAAGCUGUUCAAAGAUUCAAUUUGCAGAUCUGAAAUGACCCACUUGAAAUUCUCUGGAAGGAGGAUGAGAAGAAAAAGAGAAAAAAGGCCUUCUUGAAGCAAAACAUUGCCUAAGCACACCCUUGCAGUUCAAGGCCACCAAUCUUUAUUGUAGUAAAACUGUGUUUUUGAUAAUAA